rnacentral:rRNA from 1 species
AGGAACGUUAUCCGGAUUAUUGGGCGUAAAGAGCUCGUAGGCGGCUUGUUGCGUCUGCUGUGAAAGCCCGGGGCUUAACUCCGGGUGUGCAGUGGGUACGGGCAGGCUAGAGUGCAGUAGGGGUAACUGGAAUUCCUGGUGUAGCGGUGAAAUGCGCAGAUAUCAGGAGGAACACCGAUGGCGAAGGCAGGUUACUGGGCUGUUACUGACGCUGAGGAGCGAAAGCAUGGGGAGCGAACAGGAUUAGAUACCCUGGUAGUCCAUGCCGUAAACGUUGGGCACUAGGUGUGGGGGACAUUCCACGUUUUCCGCGCCGUAGCUAACGCAUUAAGUGCCCCGCCUGGGGAGUACGGCCGCAAGGCUAAAACUCAAAGGAAUUGACGGGGGCCCGCACAAGCGGCGGAGCAUGCGGAUUAAUUCGAUGCAACGCGAAGAACCUUACCAAGGCUUGACAUACACCGGAUCGUUCCAGAGAUGGUUCUUCCCUUUUGGGCUGGUGUACAGGUGGUGCAUGGUUGUCGUCAGCUCGUGUCGUGAGAUGUUGGGUUAAGUCCCGCAACGAGCGCAACCCUCGUUCUAUGUUGCCAGCACGUGAUGGUGGGGACUCAUAGGAGACUGCCGGGGUCAACUCGGAGGAAGGUGGGGAUGACGUCAAAUCAUCAUGCCCCUUAUGUCUUGGGCUUCACGCAUGCUACAAUGGCCGGUACAAUGGGUUGCGAUACUGUGAGGUGGAGCUAAUCCCAAAAAGCCGGUCUCAGUUCGGAUUGGGGUCUGCAACUCGACCCCAUGAAGUCGGAGUCGCUAGUAAUCGCAGAUCAGCAACGCUGCGGUGAAUACGUUCCCGGGCCUUGUACACACCGCCCGUCA